rnacentral:tRNA from 1 species
AAAUGUUGAACUAAGAGCUUCUAACUCUUAAAGAGCGUCCAAACGACGUUAACAUUUU